UAGGCCGCUGUGGGAGGGGUUGCGUGGUGACUGGCUGCGCUUCGGUCACUGAAAGUCACAGGGGAACAACAGGAGGAAGGCAAAACCGAGUGCAAAUUUCCACCAGAGUGUGUCAGCGCACACAGAAAUCUAAAAAACUUCCGCAGCGGGUGCUGCCAGAUCGUGGUAUGACGCUUCCUAUAAAGAAACAGCAGGCAGAAGAGGAGAAAGCCCCGCUUUGUGUGCGUGGUGACAGAAUGAUAUCAGGGUGUUAGCACAACUGAGAGCUGCAGCGCAGACAUUCAGCAGGCACUGCUGAAGGAUCUUCAAGGUGUCGUCUUAAGGAAGCUUCUGAUGUUCAGAAGACAACGCUGUUGCUGGAAAAAUGGAUCUAGGUUCCGAAGUGCCAUGUCUGAAUCAGGAAGACAAUUGCAUUCAGCAAGAGAAAAGAACAUGAAAAAUUCCAAAACAGAUGACUACACUAAAGUAAUCCAACUUUAGGUGGAAGAAGGAACCAUAUAUACCGUGCUGAUCUAAAGGCUGCUCUUUGUCUAUAUCAGUUUGUUGAAAUUCUCAUGAAAUGCUCAUCCUACUUCCUCCAAAGUGCUGCACAGAGCCCAGGACGUUUCUGCUUCUCACACUGCCCUGCCAGCGAGGAGCUGGAGGUCACAAGGAGCUGGGAGGGGACAGAACUAGGAGAGCUGACUCAAACUGGUCAAAGGGAUAUCCUGUGCCAUAUGGCGUCAUGCUGAGCCGUGAAGGCUGGGGUAAGAAAGGAGGAAGGGGGUGUCAUGGGAGUGAUGACAUUUGUCUUCCCUAGAAAUCGCUUUAAGUGAGCCUUGCUUUCCUGGGAGUGGCUGAACAUCUGCCUGCUGACAGGAAGUACCAACUGAAUUCCUUGCUUUGCUUUGCUUGCAUGCACAGCUUUUUUACCCGGUAAACUGUCUUUAUCUCAACCGCCGCGUUCUUACACUUCUGCAGUUUCUGAUCCUCACCCCCAACCCAUGUGGGCAGAGUGAGCGAGCAGCUGUGUGCCUGCUGGGUAUAACAGGUUGCCCAGAGAGGCUGUGGGUGCCCAGUCUCUGGAGGUGCUUAAGGCCAGGUUGGAUGGGACCCUGGGCAAUCUGAUCUAGUACUUGGAUUAGCAGGUGGCAACCCUGCCUGUGGCAGGGGAGUUGGAACUUGAUGAUGCUUGAGGUCCCUUCCAACCCUAGCCAUUCUAUGAGUCUAUGGUUCUAUGGGUUACACCACAAGAGACCUUUUGGCACCCACAUGAGGCACAAAGGGUUCAGGGUGAUGACAGAUUGAAGUGUGCAGCGUGUUAGACCAAAUCUAUAGAAGUUACAGCUGUUUGCUGCUAAUUCGCAGGCUCCUGUGCUUCCCCAGGGCUUGCUUGCCUUACUGCAUGUUAGAGUCAGUGCUUGUUAGUGGCUGCUUUUGCUCCUACUGUUUGCUCCACUCCUUAUCAUCUUGCCUUGCUGUGCCUGGGAACAUUCUGAUAACAGCUGUGGCCAGGAGCCUGGCCUGGCAGCUGGCCAAGGCAUCGCUGCUGCUCCUGUGCUGCUGUACUGGACAGGGAACUCCAGACUGAUCUCAAGUCAAGGGACUGUGACCCGUGGACAAGUCCACAUGGGAGCAUGUACACCCCAACGUGUCUGUGGCCACAGAUAAGUCCACUGUGGAAAAUGUACACACCAAAGUGUCUGCAGCCAUGCAGAGAUAUCCAUGCUGCAGCAGGUAUACCUUGCAGUGUCUAUGGAUGGGGCCAUGCCAGAAUACCUUGAAGCCUCUCUGGCUGUGAAUAAUACAACAGAACAGUGUCUGAAGGGACCUCUGAGGGGACUGUGGCCAAUGGACCAAGCCUUGCCAGAGCAAGUACGCCUCAGAAUGAGUGUGUCUAUGGAUAAGUCCAUGCUGCAGAAGGGAUACUUCUGAAGAGGUUGUGGCCUGUCAAUAAAUCCACGCCUGAACAGGUAGACCUCAAAGCACCUGUGGAUAAAUCCAUGAUACAGGACGUAGAUCUCUGGAGGGACUGUGGCUCAUGGAUUAGGCUGUGCCAGAACAGGUAUACCUCUAAGGGACCUUGGUCAACAGAUAAGCACAGGCUGGAGCAGAGGUGAAGGGAGGAGUUCAUCGCAGUGUUAAACCCUAUGGCCUUGUCAAAAAGGACAGUGGGUGGAGAUGGUAAUGACUAUAGCUUUAGACUGUUGGAACCCAUGUUCUGGGUUGUGGGACUUUUGGUGUCCUGUUUUUGUGAAGGUGCUGCCCUGCCAGUGAGGAACUGCAGGUACACAAGGAGCUGGGAGGGGACAGAACCAGAAUAGCAGACCCAAACUGGCCAAAGGUAUAUCCUGUACUUACGGUAUCACUGUGAGCAGUAAAAGCUGGGGUAAAGGAGGAGGAAGGAGGGUAUGUUGGGAUUGUGUCAUAGCUGUGACAAAGUGUUCCGUUUAAAAUGGUGAUGACAUCAGAAAGUAUAACAUCCAUUCAGAGCUUUCAAAUGUCACUUCAGUGCAUGGGAAUUCCAAAAAUCAGCAUUAAAAGAGGAACUUCAGCUUUUAUGUUCCCAUGUGCAAAAUAAAGCCCUAAUUCCAGAGGAGAUCAGAGCUAUGUGCCUGAGUUCCCAGUGCAGCACUGGGGAACUGAUCUGUGGUUUGAAACUACAUACUGACAAGCAAACAGAAAUGCUCUUCACAAACAGAUCAAGCCAUAAACCAUAUGUGGAAUCUACUUGAAUAAUGAUGCACAAACAUUUGGAGCAGACUUGGGAUCUGACGAUAGGAGUGGGAAAUGCUGAUGAAUGGUAGUAAAAGUGCAGCCUGAGAGAAGCUGGGCUUUUCCUUUUAGGGAUCUGCUUUGUAAUUCUAUGUUCUGUAAGAACAUGUUGGGAAAUGAGAAGACUCACCAUUUUACUGAAAACCCUUUGCAUUUUUAGCAACUUAUUAACUGCAUUAACGGACUACAGAAACAAGAGAGCAAAAAAAUGAGAAGUAAACUAAUGAGCAAUCUGCACUACUGGAAAAAAAGUCCCUUAAAUUUUACAUUCAAUUUGUAAUAUUUUCAUGAGAGAAUAUUACAAGGAAAAUUAUAGUGAGAAGAGGAAGAAGGGUGAUGAGCCUUUGAUGAAGGGUUAAGCUAGCAUUUUUGGGUUGUGACUACAAACUGAAUAUUAACUUGCAUCCUAAUACCCAGAGGGUACACGUAACAGGAGUGGGACAAAAAAGAGGGACAGCAGUUGCUAUCUGAGUGAAUAUAGAUUACUGCAUAGUGAAAAGGUUAGAGGGCUGGGUUGGAGUGGCUGGAGUUUGCUAUCAGUUUCCACAAAUUUGGUAUUAAAUCAGCAGAACGAGCAGAGCACAGAGAAACAAUAAUAUUUGCACCAAAAAGAAAAGCUGGUAAAAUGUGAUUGCAUGGCAUCUGCAAUAAGAAGCCCCAUCCUUUGAGGCUUUUAGAUGUCCUUAUUUUACAAAAUGCUAGUAUCAUCGAUAGUCACGAGACUGAACUUGUCUUUCUUGGAGAAUAAGAUGUUUAAAAAUGACAAGACCACUCUAUCUAAGAUCCAAGGUGCUAUCCUCUAAUCAGACUUUGCUGAUAGUGAAGAGCUACCUUCCAAGGGCUGGCAGGGGGGAGGUUUGUGUGUCUCAAUAUCAAGUGUUUCCAAUCCUUAAACAGCACAGCACCCUUUCUAGCACCACCUGCACGCUGAGAAAUCCAAGUGCAAGGCUCUGAAUAAAGUACCAGUACUGGGGGGUUUAUAAGUGGCUCUCUUGACAGUUAACUUUCAUCCCAUCCCAAAGUUCUUCCUAAUGCCGUUUUGAAUGAAGGUAACUGCGAAGCUGGUUUGUGUCUGAGCUUUGUCAAACAUGUGCUGUAGGUCUCCAGAAAGACAUCUCCUUCACUUGGAUGCUCAGUUAUGAACAAAAUAAGCUACUGUGAGAACGAACCCAAAAUUAAGCGAGUUCUCCUCCUCUGAAACAAUUUGUAUCAAUUUGGCAUCUGCCCAGGACUGAAGCAGUUUCUCUCUCUGUGGGUCUGUUUUUCUCACUUGGAAACAAUGGCAGUAUUCAUUCCUGGUCAGUUCAUAAGGUUACUCCUUCUAAAUUUGCAUUUCCCAAAACGCAGGAGUAAAAGAUGCGGAGCAUUUCAGGCCUUAACACAUUCUGUGUUAUGACAAUGAUUUCCCUUUGCUCACUUCUAUGGGGCAAUUGAAAAAGGAGUUUGUUUUGAAGUGAAAUGUUUCAUGUACAUACUAAGUUGCUCAAUUCUGAAUCCAGACAUGUAGGUCUAUGGUCCAAGGCUUUGUAGAGCGAAAUACAUUUCUAGUGUGAGAGCUAUUCUUUUAUUUCAGUCCUUUCAAAUCUCUCUUUCCCCUUCCAAUUAGCUCCUUUCUAUCCAAUGCUAAUCUUCUGCACACAAAAAAAUCCCCACGUUUAUACAAUAUCCUGUUUUUUGCACACUGUUAUCUGUUCAGUUGCUGCACACAAGUACCCUUCAGCUGACGGCUUGUCAGCUGCAUCGUUUGCAGGUUGUCAGGCCUCCCACAUCACAUGUCUGCCCAGCCCCAGCAAGAAAGCCUGUAACUUUUUUCAUAGAAGAAGAUAAGCUACAAAAUUCAUUGUAAAACCAGUUUCUUCUGCUCAGUAGUUAGCAGGACAAAAGACAAGCCUCUGCAAAGUGAACUGUGUUUGUCCCCUGUAAUACAACACUAUACGAUGACAGACGCUACAGAAAGCUUUACAAGGCAGGCAUGCUAUGGCAAGUCUGGAAACAAAAGGAACUGCUGACCAGAAAAACUCUUAGAAAACACCAAAAAAUAGCGCAGAAUUUUGAUUUAAUGCAAGAGAAGGACAAAGGUUACGGUGGUGCAGUUAGCAAGAGAGAAUCAUCUAGUGAAAUGCAGAAGAGCAGUAAGAAAGAUGCCUCUGAGUUUGUCAGUUUUUAUACUCAAAUGGAAAGGAAAAAGGUCUUUUAAGAUAUUUGUUGUGUUUUUCAUUAAAUCCAGGGAAAAAAAAGAGAAAAAAAAACCCACAGCACUUAAGAUGUGUUACAUGAUCCUGAAAUGCUAUUUUCUGUCUUUAAGGACGUGAGAGUGUUAAGACACUAGUAAGUCUAUUUUGAGACUGAUAUCAGAAUCUGUUUUUAAUCUUAUGUUUCUGUAACAUCAUAGGGAAAACGAUAAAGAAAUAAGUCAAUGGUUGCUGCAGAUCUACGUGUUUUUCAGUACGAGGCUUAUGUAUCAAAGGCAGGAACCCAAUAACCUUGAAGGAAACCUUUGGUCUGCCUCGGUUAUUCUGCUGCAGUUUCUAGGAGCAGCACAAGGUACACUAUGUCCUACAGCAGGAAGUAAGAGAUAAGCACAACAGAUUUGUUUUUUUUUUGGUUACUGAUCACUUUCACUUUUGUUUCAUCGAGGACAGGAUUUGGUAGAACUGCAGGGAAAUGAAUCUGAACUUCUUGCUGUUGAGACAGAGCACCAGAACCAAAGAGAUGACUGUUUUUUUAAUGCACUGCAAUGGGAUUUUUCUUUAGCAGAUAAUCUGGAAAGGGUCAUUAUUUUACUGAAAGAAUGAACAGUAAUGUAUUCCUAGUAGGACAUAACAACUCCCUACCAAUGUCCUUUUGGCAGGCCUGGACUCAUGAAAGCCAAAGCAGAAAUUGAAGGAAAUUACAGAAAACGGCUCAUAUGCCAUCACACUUUGAGUGUGAAAAUCCAGGCACCCACCUGCUGUGGAUGCAUUAGCAGCAAUUCCGCUAUCUUUUCCUCGUUCCAUAUGUCUGACAAACAACAUUCAAUUGGUGUCAGCUGUUUGGGACAGUGAGAGAGGACAUGGUGAUAAGCUGCAGGAGGGUGGCCCUGCAGGAAACCAUGAUACCAUGCUUCACACGUCAGGAUUUUGGAAAGCUGAGCGAUGCCUGGUCCACACACACAGAAACUUUUAACUUAUGACACACUUACGAAGUGCAGCACAGUGCCAAAUUUCACAAGACAACUAGUCAAGCUAAUCAGAAGGGUCUGGCUAUUCCCACCAAGGACUGCAUUUUCGAGAGCAUGAUCUAUCAUGCAAUGUGACAGUGGGAUUUUAUUGCCAAACAGGCUUCAGUGAAAUCGUAAGUGAAGGUUUCAGAUUGCUUUCUGGGGAAUGAACUCUCUAGGAUGGGGGCAGGAAAUUUGGCAGGAUUCCCCUAAAAGUUUGUGGGAAACAUCUUCUGAGGCAAAAGGGAUAUGAGAGUCCAUGGACUGAAGAUGGACCUCCCCAGCCCGUGGAGCCAAGGACUCGUGGGACGGAAGCACACCACUGUUGCAAAGCUAGACUGUUUCUGCUGCGAACAUGUGUUUUUCCAGCAGAAGUGUAAUUAAUAGGGAACGUCCAUCCCUACAUCAUCACAACUACUGCAGACCAUGCAUCUAUGGAAAGCUGCUAUGAAAAUAGGGCAGUGACCCAGCCAGAUGCUGGUAUCUUUCCCUUCCUCUUGGUGUUCUUCCUACCCUAAGCCCUCACAUCAGCACCUCCUGCUGCCAGAGCCUGUGGAGGCCCUGGGUCCCUUCUGUGUCCCACCAGAGAGCCACCAACAGCUGCCUCUUAGGGAGAACGAGGAGAAGAGUAGAAGUUAUGGGGUCUUGUCCUGCAGCACAAGAGAAGCCAGGGUUCAGGUAAAUUCAUACUUCCUAGGCAGCCUGUGAGCUGGAAGAAGUCCAGGCCUGGCAGAGCCCUGGCACCAUGUAGCAGCACACCCAUGUGUCUUGUCACGUUACCCAGUGCAGAAGACAACCUGCCCACGUCCCCACCACAUGGCCAUGCUCCUGGGCCAUGAGCUGGUUCCUGGGCUUCUCACCAGAAGUUAAGUGGUUAAGAUGUCUGUGCAUGACAGUAGGUCAUAAACUACAAAUUAGGCCAUUAACCCUCAAUACUGCUUCUGGUCACAGGAAGUUAAUAAUCUAAACACUGGUAUAAAGAGGAAGAACACAGUGCAGCCUUGUCUACAAGGAAUUAACUGCCCAUGUGCUGAUUAGCACCGAGGAUCUGGGCAGUUUUUUUCUUAAACAAGAGUCUGGAGAUACUGCUGCAAUUGUCCACACAGAGCUGUACUGCAAGACUUACCACAGUAAAGGUUUUUCUCACUGAUUUUAGCUUCGGAGACUCCUCCUCUUCAGACAUGACCCAUCCACCAUGGAGAACUGGGGAUAAGGUGGCUUUCCUGGCUGAUCAAAUCCUGAUUGUUCUCACUGCGAGCUGCUCCGCACGGGAUGGGCCUAGCUCUGGGCACCCAGGCUCGGGCUCACUUUCCCCAGAUGGAAAUACUGAAUUGCAGAGCAAUUCCAGUCAUAGGCAGGCUGGCUUCCCCUCCAGGACAGCUUCUAAAUCCUAACUGAGAUGUCCAGGUCCAGGUAUAGCAGCUGUGCUUGGGUAGAAAGAAAAACUCAGCAAUUGCUCUGGGACUUGUUCUGUGUGGCUGGCAUCGCCACGUCCCAUCCCUUGGCUGCACACACUGUGCUGCCUGGAGAAGGCGAGAGCUCCCACAGGCACUGCCUGGCACCAGAGGUACUAACGGCAUCCGAGCACACAGCCCUUUCCAGCAGGAUGCCUCCCUCAGUGGUAUAAACUGGCUUAAAAGUAAUUGGACCUGAAAGAAGUCUGAUGUGUGAUAGAUUAAACUAGGGUUUUUACAUCUUUCUUUUUUCUCAUCAGUCGAUUCACAUAAUUUUUUUUUUCCCCCCAGAAACUCUGCCUGGAAGUACUAACUCCUCUUGGGCAGCUUUUUGAAAACAAAAAUAAUUUUGGUACUUUUCUUGGAAAACAAACAACACAGGAUUGCAAAUUAAUCAAAUUCUAAUCAUCAGUAGAGAAAAAAGAUUGCAGGCUCACUGAUCUCUCCCUGUGUAAUUAGGCACAAGUGGCUAAUCUCCAUGCUGCUGGAAGCAAAGAGCCAAGGCACUGGGCAGCAAUCGUCAGGUUUCCUGGCUCUUGAGUUUGCAGAGGUAGGUCUUCAGCUGGAACUUGAACGUCCUCCGAAGACAUCCGACGCUCCCCCCUCGCCUGACACACGGCAGUGAGAAAAUGCCAAAAAAGGGCUGGUGUUGUUUUAGCACCACCGAGUGGACAAAUAAGGGAAAAAAAGUUCAU